rnacentral:rRNA from 1 species
GAUGAACGCUGGCGGCGUGCUUAAUACAUGCAAGUCGAACGGACAGGCCCUGCUCUUGUGGGGUGCUCGAGUGGCGAACGGGUGAGUAACACGCGAGUAACCUGCACCUGUCUUUGGGAUAUCUCUAGGAAACUGGGGCUAAUAUCGGAUAGGAGCUCCUGAUGCAUGGUGGGGGAUGGAAAGAUUCGGCGGUUGGGGCUGGACUCGAGGCUUAUCAGCUUGUUGGUGGAGUAGUGGCUUACAAAGGCUUCGACGGGUAGGCGGCCUGAGAGGGUGACCGGCGACAAUGGGACUGAGGGACGGCCCAGACUCCUACCGGAGGCAGCGGUGGAGAGUAUUGCGCAGUGGGCGGGAGCCUGAUACAGCGACGCCGCGAUCGGAAUGACGGCCUUCUGGUGAUAAACCACUUUCGCCUGUGACGAGGCGUGAGUGACGGUAAUGGGUAAGAAAGCACCGGCUAACUACGUG